GCUUGCCAAAGUAAACCCAUAGAUGAACCACAUGAGUAAACCUUUUGGAAAAAUCCAUUCAUUCAAUGUAAGCACUCAGAAGUACUUUUAACUUUAGAUUAUUGCGUGUUGUGCUCACAAAUUAGACUAUUGAAGUUAUUCCUAUAAUCUGAGUUUUUAGACAAAGUUAGCAGUCGAGUAUAUAAUCUUAGGUUAACAGUUGUCUACUUCACUCCUGACUAUAAACAUUAUUGCAAAAAAAAAUAUUUGCCAGCUCUUUAUAUUUCCUGCAAAGCCUGAGGAUCGGAAAGCUUGGAUAGAACUAAUAAGUUGUUCUGUUUAGAAGACUGAUCUAUGUUGAAUUUAUUGCUAGAUUCAUUUAUGUUACAAAAGAAAAGACAAGGAACCUUCAAAACAUUGCCUGGUGAGCAGUUGUCAUUUUAAAAAUUAAGACAAAAAGAAUAGACCAACUUUGUUUAAUUUUAAUAUUAAAAGAAAUUUGAAUUUCAUGUAUCCUGAAAAAAGGUAUACAAGAGUUAAUUUCUGCUAUUUUUCUAAAGAUUAUGGAAGUGUAUAAGUGAGCACAAAAUUAUAAUUGUUUAUUUGUUUUUUUUAUAUUGUAGGAAAAGGAUAAGCAUGUCCACUUCUAUGUGUCUAAUGACUUCUAAGAGCUCAAUCAGUCAUAUUGAUUUAUAUGAUGCUGGACCAUUUUUGGCAAGUCGACCUACUACCUCAAUAUUUGACACUAGAGUUUCUGGGGCAUCUUAUGGAUCAGAGAAUUAUUUCUUGUGAAAAGAAGUUAGUAACUAGACACAGAAACUUCAAAAUUAUCAGUUUGUUUUAGUUACAAACCCAUAGAGGGUAAUGACUCCCAUAUGCUAAUGUAUACAGGCAUUCCAAUCUGUAUUAUAUGUAUGACAUUGUAUAAAGCCAUAGAAACAUUCUAUUAAAUCACUAUGCAAAUUGGCAAGUAAAAAAUCCAAAGCAUAGUUUUUGAUGACCUUAUUGAAGCUAAGGUUAAACUUACUACAUGAAGAUUUGAUAGCAAUUCAGCAAUUGCAAUAAAUGUUGUAAUAGCAUGGAUUUAUGCAAUACAUGAAAUAUUUUUCAAUAAAUUAAUAAAAACAAUACCCCUAGAAAUACAAAUUAAGUCUUCCUCCCUGCAGCUUUUGAUAAUUUUAGGAAUUGCCGAAUAAUAUUGAACUGUACUAUUCAGCAACAUAUACCAACGAGUAGCAUGGAAAAACAAUGCUCUUAUAAACAUCAGAAUACCUGGAAAUUAUUGGUGGGUGUUGCUUCUAAUGGUGUUUUUGUGAGAAAAGCUUAUCCUGUCUUAGUCUCUGAUAAAAAGGUUGUGAAGCAGAUGGUUCCUGGAGAUUUACCAUUGGCAGAUAGAAGAGCUUCUUGCAGCAGGUGUACUCCGCAAUAGUAUAUGAACCACUCAGAAUUGCUAGAGGAUUCAUAUAGAGAGGGAAAUAGUAGAAUAAAAUAUUUUAAUAUUUUACAGACAAUUCCAUAUUAUUACUGCUAAUAAAAAGGUGAAAUACAUGCUGGAUAUCUUCAAUCUGUUUCUCAUUAUGUAAAUAGUUGUUUCAGUUGAAUAAAUUUGAGGUUUAAUAUUUA